rnacentral:rRNA from 1 species
UGCCGCAGGGAAGCCGUUAAGCGUGCCGCCUGGGGAGUACGGCCGCAAGGCUGAAACUUAAAGGAAUUGGCGGGGGAGCACCACCAGGCGUGAAGCCUGCGGUUUAAUUGGAGUCAACGCCGGGAAUCUUACCGGGACCGACAGCAGAGUGAAGGCCAGGCUGAAGACCUUGCCAGACAAGCU